CAGUAGCCGCGGUAAAACGGAGGGUGCAAGCGUUAAUCGGAAUUACUGGGCGUAAAGCGCACGCAGGCGGUUUGUUAAGUCAGAUGUGAAAUCCCCGAGCUAAACUUGGGAACUGCAUUUGAAACUGGCAAGCUAGAGUCUUGUAGAGGGGGGUAGAAUUCCAGGUGUAGCGGUGAAAUGCGUAGAGAUCUGGAGGAAUACCGGUGGCGAAGGCGGCCCCCUGGACAAAGACUGACGCUCAGGUGCGAAAGCGUGGGGAGCAAACAGGAUUAGAUACCCGCGUAGUCCCUGUCUCUUAUAC
rnacentral:rRNA from 1 species